rnacentral:sRNA from 1 species
UGAACCAGCCCCAGAAGAUGCUUUUUAGCUAGAAAUCCGGUACAAUCCAAGUAGCAGCAGAGCAAGCUUUCCCCUAGGCUGCCUCAAUAAUAUGCCUUGAAUUUGACCUGCAGUGAUCAAGCACCUCUAGGGGUGACAGAAUAAUUCAGUCUCCAUGCCCUUUCAUCCUUCAGCAGUU